GCUUACCACACCACACAUUGAACUAUUUAUGAUGUAUCUUCAUCAUUUGUGCAUUACAUCGGGCAAAGGUGAUAAGUUUGGAUUCCUUUGCCCUCAUCACAUGACAGAGAAAGGGACCAUUGGCAGUUAUUUGUUCUUUCAAUGAAGAGCAACACUGUCGUCUUUUUAUGCUCCCUCCAUUACAAACUUGGGAAAGAAAUGAAGAAGAUGAUAGACUUG